rnacentral:rRNA from 1 species
UACAGAGGGUGCGAGCGUUAAUCGGAAUUACUGGGCGUAAAGCGCGCGUAGGUGGCUUUGCAAGUCGAUUGUGAAAUCCCCGGGCUCAACCCGGGAACUGCGUCCGAUACUGGAAGGCUUGAAUCCGGGAGAGGGAUGCGGAAUUCCAGGUGUAGCGGUGAAAUGCGUAGAUAUCUGGAGGAACACCGGUGGCGAAGGCGGCAUCCUGGACCGGCAUUGACGCUGAGGCGCGAAAGCCAGGGGAGCAAACGGG